CCCCAAUGUUGUGCUGCACCCCAAUGUUUCCCCAUCCUCAGCAGAAUCCUUUCCUCCUUUAGCAUGCUCUUACAAGGUCCAAGGGCAUCUUUAAGGGUUCUUUGGCCCUUUCUCAACACUAGAACUUAUCCCUAGUCCUUAAAGCUCACAACUUGUUUAAUGGUUAUUCCAACUGAAAGUCUGGGAAAAAGCUGC